UGCUGUUGAAAUUCAGCCUGCCUAUACUUG
rnacentral:piRNA from 1 species